GUCAGCGUUCUUCUUGCAUUUUGAUUUCGGUCAACAACUCCAUGAGUGUGUCUUGCUGUUUGGCCACUGUCCUUACAUCCUCCGACAGGGAUUCGGUUUCUUUACUGGCUAAAACUCACAACCCAAAUUGCCGAGACGCGUCACUGCACUUUCGCCUUC